UGGGCCUCUCCUCUUGAGAAAGUACUUUAU
rnacentral:piRNA from 2 species